AGUUGUUAUAGAACUCAAUGGUCAUUACUGAGUCAAUAAAUCAGAAAAUGGAAUAAUGAACACAUUUUUUUUUCAUCGUUUUUGUUUUGACUUCAUGGCAAGGUGUUUUAACACGAAUUGAUACUUAACACAAGAUUAAGUGAAAUAUUGAAGAAUAUGGACAUCCAAGACUAUGGCAAACUAACACAACUGGCAUGUUACGAUUGAUUGCAAAUGUUUCUUCGAUUAAAUUUUUCAAUUUGUUGAAAUAGUCACCAGUUAAAUCUGAAAUGAAGGAUGAAUUACAAAUAUAUUGGAAAAAAAUAUCAAAAAAUAAUCAUGGACUAAGCACAAGUACAUAAUUACAAACCAGGUGAUUUUCUGAAAUCAUAAGGAGCAGCUCUGAUAGACAUUCCUCGUACAUAACCUGUAUCCACUAAACCUUGAACAAAUGAUGCAAAAUACUCCCCAACCUCUUUGGUAGAUGGGUCAAGAUAUUCAAUUCCUGUGGUGCCUCCAAAAUAUGGCAUACGUGCUUGCACUCCCGGUGAAUUGGAAUAGGAACCAUCUGAUGUAUUAAACACUAGUCUUUUAAAAAUCCAAGAAGAUUUUAGCAUAUAUUGAAAAUUAUCUUAUUAUUUUCAUAAAAAUUUACCGCAUGUUGUCAGUGAAACAGUCCAGCACUUCAGGUAGAAGUUCUUCUAAUGAUAACCAGUUAGUGAACCAAUCUGAUUUUUUAGAGCACCAGAAAUGAGGCGAACUUGUCUUGUUCAACUUCAGUUGCAUCUGACUACCAGCAUCACCAUGAACUAUAAUAAGAAAAUCACGGAUAACUUUCGUGUUUAAAAUAACUUUGUGAAAGGUUUAUUAGUUGAAUGUUUUUUAAAUGUUCCAAUGAUCAAUAAAUCUUGAGAAACGUA